rnacentral:rRNA from 1 species
CGUAGGGUGCGAGCGUUAAUCGGAAUUACUGGGCGUAAAGCGUGCGCAGGCGGUUUUGUAAGACAGGCGUGAAAUCCCCCGGGCUCAACCUGGGAACUGCGUUUGUGACUGCAAGGCUAGAGUAUGGCAGAGGGGGGUGGAAUUCCGCGUGUAGCAGUGAAAUGCGUAGAUAUGCGGAGGAACACCGAUGGCGAAGGCAAUCCCCUGGACCUGUACUGACGCUCAUGCACGAAAGCGUGGGGAGCAAACAGGAUUAGAUACCCUGGUAGUCCACGCCCUAAACGAUGUCAACUGGUUGUUGGGUCUUUACUGACUCAGUAACGAAGCUAACGCGUGAAGUUGACCGCCUGGGGAGUACGGCCGCAAGGUUG